rnacentral:rRNA from 1 species
UACUGGUAUUGUUGGUUUCUCCCUUCUGACGAACCAUGAUGUCAUUUAUUUGGUGUUGUGGGGAAUCAGGACUGUUACUUUGAAAAAAUUAGAGUGUUUAAAGCAGGCUCACGCUUGAAUACAUUAGCAUGGAAUAAUGAAAUAGGACGUUUGAUUCUAUUUUGUUGGUUUCUAGGAUCGACGUAAUGAUUAAUAGGGAUAGUUGGGGGCAUUAGUAUUCAAUUGUCAGAGGUGAAAUUCUUGGAUUUAUUGAAGACUAACUACUGCGAAAGCAUUUGCCAAGGAUGUUUUCAUUAAUCAAGAACGAAAGUUAGGGGAUCGAAGACGAUCAGAUACCGUCGUAGUCUUAACCAUAAACUAUGCCGACUAGGGAUCGGAUGAUGUUAAUUUUUUAAUGACUCAUUCGGCGCCUUACG